rnacentral:lncRNA from 1 species
AUGAGCAACCUAAACAAUGGGAAGAUGGAAGGUGAUGCUUCUGUUGGUCAGGAUCCUCCUCCCUAUUCUGAAAAGCUGCUCAGCGGAGAACCAGAUCAACGGGCACUACCUGCUGGGCUAAGCAGUCCCAUGGGCUAUGCGGCACCUCUACCUGUCCCACAACAGUACCAACUUUAUUACGGUCCACCUGCUGUAGGAUUGAGCCAAGCCACAGUCCUUCAGCCUCCACAGACCAUCAUCAUCACGACUAUCGACCCUAUGGAAGAGCCAGAUUACAUGGGUUUCUCCAUCUUCACCAUGCUUUGCUGUUUCUUACCCCUUGGAAUUGCUGCCUUUGUAUAUUCCAUAAAGACCAGAGAUGCCAACCGUGCGAGAGAUGGAACAAAUGCUCGCCAGUACUCCAGGCUUGCACGCAUUCUGAGUUAUACAGCAUUUGGGGUGGGGACUGGGAUUACAGUUGUGUGCAUCAUCCUAAAAAUUGUACUUGCUGCCUCUAUGCGGAACUACCACUAUUAAUUGUAUAACCCUUAGUGAGAGUGCAGGAUGAAGCCUUUUAUUACUCUGAGAGAAUUAACUUUGACACACAAGCUGGAGACGUCUUGCAAUCAUUCUUUUCCAAUUAUUUCAUAAAGGGAUGCAAAGCAAGCUGGGUCACAUGUCCAUGCCCAUCACAUGAUUUCCAUACCCUUGACUUGAUUACCAGAAUUCCUAAGCAUUGCACUUAUAGAACAAUGCAGUGUUCUGAAAAUUAUGCCUUGUGAGUCAGUUUGCACACAGAUUGAAAAAGCUGCUGAAUUUCAAAGCCAGGAUGCCUGGAGACCAUGUUGGUUGAUAGAUUCUAAAACGUCUAAUCCCAAAAGGCAACUUUGCCAAGUUUUCAGUUUACAAUAGAACCUUCUUCAUCAAGCAAUUGCUGGAAUCCUGUUGUGCAGUUACACGAAUGGCACAACUUUUAGUGGCAAAAUGAUAUAUGAAAUCACUAUAGAACAUGACUCAUUAGGCAACAAACAAUGUCCAUGGAGAUGUCUUAAUUUCUGACACUAUGCCAGUUACCGGUGCAUUAUUUGUGUAACUCCACAACAGGAUUUCAACCAGCGAGUGUCAUGUGCAAUCCAACUUUAUGAUGAUCCCAAACCCAGACAAUAAAAUGAGGAUCUGCAUAUUGCCUGUGAGUCA